CAUGGAAUCAGAGGUUAAACAAUUUUUGGUAUUUAUAUGAUCUAUUUGUUAUUUAUGCAACGCUGGUGUUAAGGGUUUGUUCAUGAUUCGUGAAUCAUGAUGAUACUUCAAUAUAACAAGUCAAAUUUUGCUUCACUUUCUUGCCUUCUCUUGAAAUCAAUAUCUGGCUUCUUCCACAUAAACUAUUUGGUUCCCUCUUUUCCCUCUUCUCCAUCCUCUGUACUUGUUUAAAUCGAAAAAUAAGUUUUAGCAAUACAAAAGGCAAAGGUCGCGUCAUCGGUCGCAAGGCUCUGCUGUGUGUCAGAUGGGGUCCGCAGUAUUAGCGGCGAUGCUGCUAAUACUGCCUGGUCAGGGUUACCCUUUUUCCCUGGUCGUGUUACGCGAGCCGAUGUUUUUUUUGUGACCGCAUAACGACACUAUGUUUGGCCCGAUUGCAUAAAGUAUUCUGCAUUCAGUUUUUUUGGUAGCAGUUUUAUUUUAUGUAGAUAUAUAGCUUUGUUUAUUAUGAACAUCCCCAGUUGUAAUACUUGUUUAUAAAUGAAAUCUGCCUUUGAACCCUA